UCCUGGAAAUUCUGCUUUACAUGUAGAUAUUCAGUGUGUAAACCUGAACAGAUUGUACAUUUUAAGCAGUAAUUCUUUGAGGACUAGUAAAAAUGUAUUCUUUGUCUUGCAAAGAAAUUUUUCUAUCCUUUUCCGAAAGGAGUGAUGAGCUUCUCCUAUUAAUGAGAACAAGAGAAAGGGAGACGGGGAGUGGCAGAACUGACAUCUGUAGCUCCUGCAUCUGAAAUGGGUUCCAUUAUUUAUUUUAUAUAACCAGAAAAUCUUCUUUUGAGGAAGGAGAAAUGGAGCAGGCUGCGGAGAAUGGAAGAAUCAUGAUUUCGUUCCAAGGAAAGUGAAGGAGGAAAAACAAAGUUCUGCCAACAGAAAGACAGUGUUCUAUGUCCUCUGUCACUUCCGCUGCCAUCCCACCUACUACGGUGGAAUCCCUAAGGGAAACAGAAGUAACAAGAAGAGCAAAAAUAAUGCAACAGCAAUGUGACUGGGAUGACUGCUAUGCUAGCUAACACCAGGGACUGAUCUGGGGAACUUCCAGAACUUAAAAGCAUGACCCCUUUUAUAACCUGACCCGAGUGGGACCAUGGUGCUGAAAGGAGCACAGAAGAGGAGGCAGGAGAGUUGGAAGGAAAGCUGAACCCUGCUUUUCCCAUUAUGUAUAUUUUAUGGACAGGUGGUCUCCUUAGUGGCCUUGUUGCAAAAAGCGAGAAGGAUUUUGUCUUUCUAACCUUAUCAGCACUUAUUGCUUUAGGUUUUUUUUUUGUUUGAUUGUGUUUUGGGUGGUUGUUUUUGUGUUGUUGGAUUUUUUAUUUGUUUGUUCAUUUGUUUUGAAUAAAAAUCUGUUGAUGCAGAAUGUAUCAUGUAGAAUAAAACAGUAAGUUGCUCUGAG